rnacentral:lncRNA from 13 species
AUGGACAAUGAAGAGACAGGCGCUGACAACCCUCUGCUGAAUGGAGAUGCCAGUGGCCAAGGAGAGGAAGGUGUUCUAGGAAUGGAGGAUGGAAAGCUGUCAGACAAUGACAGAGCAGACACUGAAAUCUGUCAGAAGACACAUGCUGAUUCCCAUCCACUGAAUGUACCCAAGGUUGUCAGGGUUAACAGCCAGACUGAUGACACACAGCUUCUUGGUCAACCUCAGAGCAAUGGACAUGUGCCAUAUAGAAGGGUUAACGAUGAGACUAAGGAAGCGACUCCUGGUGCACAGAGUCCAGGACCUCCUCAGAUGAAUGGAGGACCUCCCAUGUCUGACAGGUUGGAGAACAACCCUGUUGGUCAGCGCAUGAAGAAAACUGCUCUGGUGAACAAGCAGGACCAGGACUGGUCAGCAACGGCAUGUAGCCAGUUGAAAAUAUAUAGUAUAUAAGAUGAAACUAAGUGUAAAUAUAAUAAAAAAUAACAUGAUAUACACUGUAAUAUAGAACAGUAUAAUAUGACAUUAUAUAAUAUCGUAACACUUACUUGAAGCUGCUUCUUGUAUAGUGCUAUAUGUUCUAAUGAAUGCAUUCUUAACAACAUGAAUGAUGCAUUAAUGCAUACAUAGGACAUAACUGUAUAGUAAAAUGCUAGUAUAAUACUGUGCUGGUAAGCUGCUAGCUGUGGGGUUGCCCCCAGCUGUGGUUUCUAUCAUUCAGAGUAUCUAUGCUCAACUGUGGUUCAAAUCCAUAGUUUUUAGCUUAGUUGUUACCGUAAACUAGCACUUCUUAGAGACAAAGUUAUGGGAAAUGCUGUAUAACUACUUACCAUUCUGAAGUGUAACAGUCAAGUUUAUAUGUAACAAUUGUUAAUCCCUUUUUUAAAUGUUUAUUUAUAUAUUUGUUUGCUUGAUUAGAUUGAAUUUGUAUGACUAAUGCAUUAUUUGACCCUCCCGUUUAGAGGGAUAUUAUUUUACCCUCCCGUUUAGAGGGAUAUUAUUUUACCCUCCCGUAUAGAGGGAUAUUAUUUUACCCUCCCGUUUAGAGGGAUAUUAUUUUACCCUCCCAUACAGAGGGAUAUUAUUUUACCCUCCCGUUUAGAGGGAUAUUAUUUUACCCUCCCGUAUAGAGGGAUAUUAUUUUACCCUCCCGUAUAGAGGGAUAUUAUUUUACCCUCCCGUAUAGAGGGA